rnacentral:sRNA from 1 species
GCACCUGAAAAUCAACGCUUGGGGUCACACAUCUCCGG